UGUGAUAGCACCAAAGUGCUCCAGCCUGGGUGACAGCGUAAAACCCUGUCUCAAAUAAAUAAAUGGAGCAAUACAAAGGAGCUCCCUUCAUAUACCUGCAGAUCCCUCAGGAUGAGGUACAUCUCCUGGUGGUCUCUCAAAAGAAGGGAUUCAUGCUUUGAGAAGAAGAAUAAACAUUUAUGGAAAGUUAUCUGUGAGCCAAACAGUGCAAAUAUGUUAUCUCAUUUAAUUCCUAUAGCUCCAAGUGGUAGGUAGGCUUUAUUAUUUCCAUUUUACAUGUUAGACAUUAAGUGAUAAAUAAUGUCUGAAGUCUUGAGGCUAAUAGAAAAUGGCAAUAAGAUCUUUCUCUGCUUGAAUUCAAAGCCCACAGGAGGUAGUGUGAAAAGUGAGUUUUUGGGAAGAAAAACCACUUUCUGCUUGGAGAAGAGAUGAAAAUGGAUUUUUCAUUUAUGGAGCUCAGGCUCUUGCUAUACAGCCCAUGAAACCUCCUCUAAACAGGACUGGCUUGGACAUUAUCCUUUAACUACUCUAGAUCUGACAGCCACGGGGCUAAGCAGCCUCUCUAAGAUACCUCUUGAACUCAGGACUGCUUGUGGAAAUAGAAAAGACUAUGAUGAUGGGAACUGGAGUUUCUGCAAAUCACAGAUGAGUGUAAGGCCAUUUACUGGACUUUUUUCCCAGCUUCAGGAUCCAGUCACCAAUCUAAAAUCGCUGGUAGUCUUUAAGUUUUAAAAUCCUCCUUAGUCAUUUAAAAACGUGGUAGUACAGAACAUCGCUCUAGUCCAUCUGAAGCAAAGAAGACUGGAAAGGGAACCAUGAAGUGCCCGUUCGAGACCAGGAUUGGUUAUUAAUAAAACCCUAGACCUAUCAAGUGGAUGGUUGUGGGAAUCAAACAUGAAAGCACUCUGAAAAUUAUCAAGCACUGCACUCUAGUAAGAUCAUUUAUUCAUUCAUCAAUUUUUCAGAAACGAUUUCCUGAGCACCAGUCAUAUCUUAGGCACUAGGUUAGGCACAGGAACCACACAAAAAAAGACACCAGUUCUUGCUUGCUGGUAAUUCUAGCCAUGCAAAACUCAUCAUUAAGUAUUUAUUGAAUGUCUACCACUGGCCCUGUGAUACCAAUUAUUACCUUUCCAUUAGAGUGCAAUGACUGUUCCAUUACAGGCUUGAAAGAGUUAAUGUGCUGCAAAUGCCUUUGUGCCUGGGGAGUUCUGCACCACCUCUGCCCGGGCUGCAGAUGCAUUAGGCUCCAAGUAUGUAUUUUCUUUUCCCUUCUGUUUAUGUCUCUGUUUUCUGUGAAGUCUGCUAAACUGCAGCAGUAUCUUCCAAGUUCUCUGACAAUGUUAUAAAUUUCAUUAAGAAGAUGUAGCCUUCUGGGGCAAUUAACUCCAAAAGUGGUACAAAGCCAUAGCAAGGAGAUACUGGCCUGUAGUACUUAGCACUUAGCUCUGAAAUUGAGAUAAGCCCUAUCAACCCGGGGUUGUGUUUAAUGUUCGCUGCAGCUUCCAUACCACAGCUACAACCUAGCGGUCACCGUGUUAACACUCCCCAAUAUCUAUUACAAUUAGUUUUUGAUUAAGAGGCCUAACAUGGCUUUUGAAGCUUUUUAUGUUGUGUCAAAUGGCUAGUGAUGGAGUGAGAUGCACAGACACCUCCCGGUAACAAAGCAUAUUGUAAAAGGUUUCGAGUGAACUAUUUUAUCAUCCUAAUGGAAACCAGAUGACUCGAACUCCCCCCUUAAUUUCAACUAUUUACUGAAGAGUCCUUGUUUUGAAUUACUGAAAGAUUUAUCCUUAAAUGACUAGCUCAUGCAUUAAGAAUCGCUAAUAACAGAGCCAUUUGGAAUUUGGGAAAGCUUUUAUAGAUGACCGAAGCAAUGUUCACAGAGGUUUUAUUUUAUUUUAUUUUACUUUAUUUUUCGUUUGAUUUUUAAAGAGCAAAUAUCUUUGCUCUUUCCUAGUGUUUAAUUAUUACUUUAGUUAUUUGUUUAUGAGGCCUUUCUCAGUUGAGUUAUACUGUCUCUGCCAGGGUUUCAGUCAGUAGUCUUGGCCUGUUGUUUAAGAAAGAGGUCACUGGUAUUUUGUGAGAGAAACUUUGUUUAGUUAUGUAAGAUGUAAUUCUUUGUGAACUGAAAAUAUAUGCUAUUUUUGUAAAGGCCAUUCGAUGAAACAAAGUACAAUUAUUUAAAAAUUCCUUUGUAGAUUAAAAAGCUGAAAAUCUGAA